CCAAGUAGAAAGUGGCAGUUAAUAUUUGAACCCAAGUACUUUGUCUCCAAAUCAGCAUCCUUUCUACAAGACCCAGUACUAAGAAUCAUCCACUUGUUAGAUCAUCUAUGAAUAGAUAAUGUAGAUAACAUUCUCCCUGGAAUUCUGCUAAAUUCUUUCAUGAGAUUCUUUAAGAGCUUGGAAUUUGACCACAUAAGACCACUGGUAUAGAAUUCAAAUCAAGAUUUCAAACUGGAAGAGACCUUAAAGUGAUCUAGUUCUUUUUUUUUUUUUAUUUAAGAAAUGAAGAAACUGAGGCUGAGAGAGUCUAAUUGAUUGUCCCAGAAUCUUGCUCUGAGAUGCAGCCAAAUAAUUUCCUGACACCUGAUGUUCCAGGGCACCUUUGCACCGACUGUCUUCCAAGUCUAGAAUGAACUACCACCUCCACCUCACAGAAUACCACAGCUCUUCCUUCAAGAUGCAAAUCAGAAAUGAUUUGAAGUUCUAUAAAUAUGAGAAACAAGAACAACCAAGAACUUAGCUAUCCACGUGGCAAGAAAGAAAUAUAUGGCUAACCUGAACCCUUCCUUUCUUCAGUAUAAAUCAUUUCAUUUUAGAUUAUCAUCAGUACAUUUGGUCCCACAGAAGCUCUUGUACUAUAAAACUUUAAUU
rnacentral:lncRNA from 1 species